rnacentral:rRNA from 1 species
AUUGAACGCUGGCGGCAGGCCUAACACAUGCAAGUCGAGCGAGAGGCGGACGGGUGAGUAAUGUCUGGGGGAAUGCCUGAUGGAGGGGGAGAAAUACUGGAAACGGUAGCUCAUACAGCAUACCAUCAGAUGUGCCCCGAUGGGAUUAGCUAGAAGGGGGGGUAACGGCUCACCUCGGCGACGCUCCCUAGCUGGUCUGAGAGGAUGAACAGCCACACUGGAACUGAGACACGGUCCAGACUCCUACGGGAGGCAGCAGUGGGGAAUAUUGCACAAUGGGCGCAAGCCUGAUGCAGCCAUGCCGCGUGUGUGAAGAAGGCCUUCGGGUUGUAAAGCACUUUCAGCGGGGAGGCGUUACCCGCAGAAGAAGCACCGGCUAACUCCGUGCCAGCAGCCGCGGUAAUUC